GAUGAACGCUGGCGGCGUGCCUAAUACAUGCAAGUCGAGCGAACAGACGAGGAGCUUGCUCCUCUGACGUUAGCGGCGGACGGGUGAGUAACACGUGGAUAACCUACCUAUAAGACUGGGAUAACUUCGGGAAACCGGAGCUAAUACCGGAUAAUAUAUUGAACCGCAUGGUUCAAUAGUGAAAGACGGUUUUGAUGUCACUUAUAGAUGGAUCCGCGCCGCAUUAGCUAGUUGGUAAGGUAACGGCUUACCAAGGCAACGAUGCGUAGCCGACCUGAGAGGGUGAUCGGCCACACUGGAACUGAGACACGGUCCAGACUCCUACGGGAGGCAGCAGUAGGGAAUCUUCCGCUAUGGGCGAAAGCCUGACGGAGCAACGCCGCGUGAGUGAUGAAGGUCUUCGGAUCGUAAAACUCUGUUAUUAGGGAAGAACAAAUGUGUAAGUAACUAUGCACGUCUUGACGGUACCUAAUCAGAAAGCCACGGCUAACUACGUG
rnacentral:rRNA from 1 species